AUUCCAGCUCUGUAAGCGUAUACCAAAGUUGUUGCAGUUAAAACGCUCGUAGUCGGAUUUUGGUAGUUCCGGAUGUGUGCGCGUCGUGCGCGCACUUUGCAGGGGCUGCUUUUGUGGGUAUGCGUGGCAUGAGGCGACUUUAUUGUUGAACGUGUCUACGCGACCACCUUUUACUGUGAAAAAAUUAGAGUGUUCAAAGCAGGCAUUUGUCGUGAAUACAUUAGCAUGGAAUAAUAGAAUAGGACUUGGUUCUAUUUUGUUGGUUUGUUGGGAUCGAGUAAUGAUUAAGAGGGACAGUUGGGGGCAUUUGUAUUCCGGAGCUAGAGGUGAAAUUCUUAGAUUUCCGGAAGACAAACAGCUGCGAAAGCGUCUGCCAAGGAUGUUUUCAUUG
rnacentral:rRNA from 1 species